rnacentral:rRNA from 1 species
AAGAAACCAACAGGGAUUGCCUCAGUAACGGCGAGUGAAGCGGCAAAAGCUCAAAUUUGAAAUCUAGCACUUUCAGUGUUCGAGUUGUAAUUUGAAGAAGGUAACUUUGGUUUUGGCUCUUGUCUAUGUUCCUUGGAACAGGACGUCACAGAGGGUGAGAAUCCCGUGCGAUGAGAUGCCCAAUUCCAUGUAAAGUGCUUUCGAAGAGUCGAGUUGUUUGGGAAUGCAGCUCUAAGUGGGUGGUAAAUUCCAUCUAAAGCUAAAUAUUGGCGAGAGACCGAUAGCGAACAAGUACAGUGAUGGAAAGAUGAAAAGAACUUUGAAAAGAGAGUGAAAAAGUACGUGAAAUUGUUGAAAGGGAAGGGCUUGAGAUCAGACUUGGUAUUUUGCGUUCCCUUCCUUUUUGGUUGGGUUCCUCGCAGUUUACUGGGCCAGCAUCGGUUUGGAUGGUAGGAUAAUGACAUUGGAAUGUAGCUUUACUUCGGUGAAGUGUUAUAGACUUUGUUGAUACUGCCUAUCUAGACCGAGGACUGCGUCUUUGACUAGGA